UGCCCCGUGGGGUAAGUGGCAGCCCGUGGGUUUUUGGUACCCAAAGUCCUAGUUCGAGUCUAGGCGGGGCAG
rnacentral:tRNA from 1 species